GAUGAAGAACGUAGCGAAAUGCGAUAAGUAAUGUGAAUUGCAGAAUUCAGUGAAUCAUCGAAUCUUUGAACGCACAUUGCGCCCUUUGGUAUUCCGAAGGGCAUGCCUGUUCGAGCGUCAUUUCACCACUCAAGCCUGGCUUGGUAUUGGGCGCCGCGGUCGAUCCGCGCGCCUCAAAGUCUCCGGCUGAGCUGUCCGUCUCUAAGCGUUGUGAUUUCAUUAAUCGCUUCGGAGUGCGGACGGCCGCGGCCGUUAAAUCUUUCACAAGGUUGACCUCGGAUCAGGUAGGGAUACCCGCUGAACUUAAGCAUAUCAAUAAGCGGAGGA
rnacentral:misc_RNA from 1 species